rnacentral:rRNA from 1 species
GAGCGUUUGAUCCUGGCUCAGGACGAACGCUGGCGGCGUGCUUAACACAUGCAAGUCGAGCGAUGAAAUCCCUUCGGGGAUGGAUUAGCGGCGGACGGGUGAGUAACACGUGGGCAACCUGCCUCAAAGUGGGGGAUAGCCUUCCGAAAGGGAGAUUAAUACCGCAUAACAUUAGUUUUUCACAUGAAUUACUAAUUAAAGGAGUAAUCCGCUUUGAGAUGGGCCCGCGGCGCAUUAGCUAGUUGGUGAGGUAACGGCUCACCAAGGCCACGAUGCGUAGCCGACCUGAGAGGGUGAUCGGCCACAUUGGAACUGAGACACGGUCCAGACUCCUACGGGAGGCAGCAGUGGGGAAUAUUGCACAAUGGGCGAAAGCCUGAUGCAGCAACGCCGCGUGAGUGAUGAAGGCCUUCGGGUUGUAAAGCUCUGUCUUUGGGGACGAUAAUGACGGUACCCAAGGAGGAAGCCACGGCUAACUACGUGCCAGCAGCCGCGGUAAUACGUAGGUGGCGAGCGUUGUCCGGAUUUACUGGGCGUAAAGGAUGCGUAGGCGGAUGUUUAAGUCAGAUGUGAAAAUCCCGAGCUUAACUUGGGAACUGCAUUUGAAACUGGAUAUCUAGAGU